rnacentral:lncRNA from 1 species
AGCAGUUGCUCCUUGGGAUGCUGGUCACCCAAGCAAACUAAGCAAGCUCAUGCUGAUGAUGUCACUGCUUCUGUAGCCUAACAGAUCAAACCCCUCUGUCAGUGGUGACUGGAGCAGAACUGAAGGCACUGUGGAAAGAAUACGUGUCACCUACGCAGCCAGCUUCCUCUGGACAAAAUGCAGGGAGGGAGAGGAGUCUUUGCUUGAUGAAGCAUCUCAAGGGAUGGAGGAGAUAUUAGUUCAGCCUAUGGCCACUGAACUCUUCUUGGAACAUCACUGAUCUCUUGUAUGCUUUCUCCAAUAAAUGAAAUGUCUCCCAUUAUGAUCAGAUUAUAUCCCAAUAAACCCAUCAGAAAUAGAAAAUAUCAUAAGCCAAAAAUGUGGUGAUAUGCCUAAACUAGAAAACAUCACAGCUUCGUGUAGCUUACCUUAAACAUGCUCAUAAUUCUUACAUUAUCAUGCAGUUGGGUACAAUCACCUUACCAAAAAUCUGUGUUGUAGGGGCUAGGGAUAUAGUUCAGUUGGUAGAGUGCUUGCUUUGUAUGCACGAGGCUGUGGGUUCAAUCCCCCGCCCAAAAAAACACCACACCUGUCGUAAUAGACACUUGCGUGUUUCCUUUUAUUUCUUGAAUACUGUGUGGAUGCUGCAGAGUAUCCAUUGUUUAUCCCCAUGAUCAUGGGGCUGGCUGGGAGCUGUGGCCAGCUGCUUCUGCCCUGCAUCAUGGGGGAAUGUUGUGCUGCAUUUCACUCUCUUGGGAAGAGAUCAAAAUUCAAAGUUUAAUUUUUAAUAUGUGCAUACUGCCUUCACACCAUUGUAAAGUUGAUAAAUGGUAAGUUGAACCCUCAUGAAUCAGGGACCAUCUGUAUAUUGAUUUUGAAAUCAUGUGUGAAUAGCACAGUUAAGUAGUAUUAUAUUGUGUGUCAAAAUGUGUUAAUUUAUUAAAUGUAAAUAUUUAAAAUAUAUUAUAGAGGGCUGGGGAUGUGGCUCAAGCAUUAGCACGCUUGCCUGGCAUAUGCAGGGCGCUAGGUUCGAUCCUCAGCUCCACAUAAAAAUAAAAUAAAGAUGUUGUGUCCACCAAAAACUAAAAAAUAAAUAUUAAAAAACUCUCUCUCUCAAA